UUGGCCCAAUAAAACCCAGUAUCUCUCUCAUCUUCCUCAUUUCAUCUCACAGCCCUAAAUUGAAAAAACGAGAUCCCCUUUUCGUCGUCGCCCGUCUCCAGCCGCCGACGCCCCGUUCUAGCCGUCGCCCGUCUCCGGCGUCGAUGUCCCUGUCCCUCUCUCUCCAGCUCGUGCCUUCCCAUUUCCGUCAUCUCCAUAAAUGCGUCCCUCUUCAAAAUUCUGAUGAUCAUGUCCUCUUGCUCUUCUGAUUUGAGAGGGAGCUAUUGAGGGGGGCCGGGCUUGGUGAAUGGCUCUGACGCGCGCCAUUUGAUGGUCUGGAGCUCUUGGUCGCUUGGAGCAUUGUUCAGGAGGAGCUGAUCAAGGAGCUCGAUUUGAUUCUCGAGAGCUGCAGUAGGUUCUUAGUGGAUCAUGGGUUAAAAAGGGUCACCAAUUGUUUCUUGCUUCACUUGAUGGAGUUUGGCCCUUUGAAGCUUACUGAUCCUUCGAAGAUUGGUGGGCUGUUGAACGGGUUGAAAACUAUGAGGAUGAAUAACCCCUUUUGGCAGUCUUUAUGGUGAAUCUAUGUUUUUUAACAUUCCUCAGCUUUUGGCUAUGUUUGUGACUGUGAAUGUAUCUGAAAUACGUGUGAGGAUGUUUUGUACCAUAUAUGUGAGGAUGUUUUGUAACAUAUCUCAAUUUGUGUUGCAAGUGUAACAUAUAUGCGAGGAUGUUUUGUAAUAUGCGA